UGGGUAACCUGCCUCAAAGAGGGGAAUAGCCUCCCGAAAAGGGAGAUUAAUACCGCAUAAUAUGUUUAAGUCGCAUGACUUUAACAUCAAAGGAUUUUCUUUUAAGAAAUUCCACUUUGAGAUGGACCCCGCGGCGCAUUAGCUAGUUGGUGAGGUAACGGCUCACCAAGGCAACGAUGCGUAGCCGACCUGAGAGGGUGAUCGGCCACAUUGGAACUGAGACACGGCCCAGACUCCGUAGGAG
rnacentral:rRNA from 1 species